rnacentral:rRNA from 1 species
UACGUAGGGUGCGAGCGUUGUCCGGAAUUAUUGGGCGUAAAGAGCGUGUAGGCGGCCUGGUAGGUCUGCUGUGAAAACUCGAGGCUCAACCUCGAGAUGUCGGCGGAAACCAUCUGGCUAGAGUCCGGAAGAGGAGAGUGGAAUUCCUGGUGUAGCGGUGAAAUGCGCAGAUAUCAGGAAGAACACCUAUGGCGAAGGCAGCUCUCUGGGACGGUACUGACGCUGAGACGCGAAAGCGUGGGGAGCGGACAGG